GAGAGUCAAAGAGUGCUUGA
rnacentral:snRNA from 1 species